AGUGAGUGAUUCUGAACUGGGCUGCCAUAAAGAAGAAGGCAGAGACCUACCUGCGUGUUGCUUCUGUCUCCUUCCAGCUGUUGGGAGGUCAGUGUGCCUGGGCUGGCUGCUUUUGGAAAGUCCUUUCUUUAUCUCUUUCCCACUUGGCAGCUCUCCUUAGUUCUGGGACAUUUGCCACCAUGGUACUGCCAGGAAGGAAUCUGGCCUUGUCCUGUUCCAUUUCUCUUUGUUUCCAAGAGGGAGCUCCGAUUCCACCUGCUGUGUGACAUCACCCACUGCGGGAUCCCUGCAUGAGAGUUGGAAAUCACACUGUCAGAUGGUCACACCUCCAGCUACAAGAGGUUCAAGUUCUUCCUGGGUUAUAAGAUGGCAAGCCAUCCACAUAGAGUCCCAAGUUAAUUUAUGAUUGAGCUGUCUUUAAGGAGCUUACAAGUCUUGAAUGUUCAGACAGGAGCCCAGUAUUCUGGCUUCUGAAGUGCUCCAUCCAGCAGCUGACUCAGACAGAUGUAGACACCAACAACCAAACAUUGGAUGGAACUUGGGGACUCUUAUGGAAGAAGACUAGGAAGAAGGAUUGUGGGCUCCUGAGGGAAUAGGAAUUCCUCAGGAAGACCAACACAGUCAACUAACCCUUGGGCCUCUCUGAGACUGAGCCACCAACCAAAGAACAUACAUGGGCUGAACCUAGGCCUCCAGCACAUAUGCAUCAGGCGUGCAGCUUGGUCUUCAUGUGGUUCCUGAACAACUGGAGCAGGGGGCUAUCCCAAAAGCUAUUGCCAGUAUGUGGAAUAUGUUCUUCUAGUUGGGCUGCCUUGUCUCCCCUCAGUGGGAGUGGGUGUGCCUAACCUGGCAGAGACUUAAAGUACCAGGUGAGGUGACACCCAAGGGAGGCCAGACUCUCUCAGAGGAGAAGUGAAAAAACACAUGAUGAAGGAUUCUUCCCUAACAACAUGCAUGCUUUGGUCCACCUUACAUUAUGUAGUUGAGUUCCAUUUGUUGGGACUCCUUAGAUAUAAAAGCAUCAAAAACUUCUGGUGGUGUGCCAUGGUUUCUUGCUGCUUCUGGGCACUUGGGCUGAUUGGCAGAGUGAUGAUAGGUGACACACACAUGUGUUGUGGCAAGACAUGUGGUGAGGCAAGACCAGUGGAGGACAUGUGAUAUUUGGAGAGAGUAUAAGAAGAACUCAAAAGACAGUGACAGAAGCUGAUCUUGGGUUGCUUGCAGAUCAAAGUUUGUUGGGGUUGAGACUUGGCUGAUCUUCACUUGGCUGAGAGAUGGGCAGCCCAGAACUUUUCCUGGUGUUCCUGUUGGCUCUUGGUCCCUCUUGCUGACUCAUGCAGAGGCUGUCUCUGCAUGGUAGUGCUACUCAUGCCUCUGGCUGUCUCUGCUAGGUAGUGCUACUGCUGCUGAUUUGUGGUUUGCUAUCCCAACUCUUUGGAACUGGACUGCUGGUGUAUCCGUGAAGUGUUUGCGAGUGGAUUGAGCUGCUGCUGACCUGUGAACUGAGUUGCUGAAUUCCAGACAACACAGAUGAAGUGAGGGCUGUCUCAGAUUCUGUUGCCUGCCAUUGGAUCCCCUUUGCCUAGCUAGACUCAUCGGUUGGAUGAUGAGUCCAGGGUGGGGAUGUACCCAAGGUGUGUGUGUGUUUCCCUUUCUCUGAGGAGAUGGGAAGGCAUAAUGUGGGGGAGGGACUUGUGAGGGUAGACCUGUGAGGAGGGGGGGGCUGCACCUGGGAUAUAAAGGGAAUAAAAAAUAAGGGGAAUAAUGUAAAAUCAAUAACAAAUAUUCUAACUUCAAGAAGAGAGUUGUAACAACCGUUUUCCUCCUAGCCAUACUCAAAAUAAUAACUCCAAAAGAGAAGCAGUGCAAACAGCUGAAUUUAGCAUAAUUGGAUGAUAUGACUUUCACCUUACUGGAGUGGAGUGAAAACACCAAGAUUGAUGCAAAUUUACUGCCAAGUUAACAUAAAAAUCCUCAUAGUGAAAAGGUAACAAACCGCUCCGAAGCAUCGCUUCAGUGAGAACGCUGACAGGGUUCAUGAGCCCAGUCCAUCUGAGACUAAUUUGAGACUCUUCUGAAGAAGAAAUCUGGAAAUCCAUUGAAAUCUUAUCCUUCCAUUAUGAAAGAAAAUGAUGGAGGUUUAAACAUGUGUAAUGCCAGUUAUAAAAUAAAAUUCAUGCUGCUAUUGAC
rnacentral:lncRNA from 1 species